rnacentral:rRNA from 1 species
GAGCGAACGCUGGCGGCAGGCCUAACACAUGCAAGUCGAACGGACUCUUCGGAGUUAGUGGCGGACGGGUGAGUAACACGUGGGAACGUGCCUUUAGGUUCGGAAUAGCUCCUGGAAACGGGUGGUAAUGCCGAAUGUGCCCUUCGGGGGAAAGAUUUAUCGCCUUUAGAGCGGCCCGCGUCUGAUUAGCUUGUUGGUGAGGUAAUGCUCACGAAGCU